rnacentral:lncRNA from 1 species
UAAACAAAUUUGGCAAAACCCUAGCCCUAGUAGCAGAUGCGCCACAACCGGACAGCAGCCCCAGCCUCCGUACCAUGCCAGCACCUCCAGCAACCAUGCCAAGCCUCCGUACACACGCCAGCGCGCACCCGUACUUGUAAAAAGACAAACAGAGCAGCAACAAAUAGAAACAAAAGAGAAAAUAUUGUAUUUUUUAUUUAUUUUCCUCUUUCUUUUCGGCUAUAAAGCUAAGAAUGGAUCGAUUAUAUUGGGUUACGUUCACAAACGAAAUACAAAGGCAUAGUGUACAAGCAAAGAGAUAAUAACAAUCGAUCAAAAAAAGAGAGGUGAUUUUGGCUCUCGUUUUUUAUAUACCUUUCUUCUUUUUUCUUCUUUUUGUUAUCAGCAUUGAUUCAAAUCCAUCAUCGUUACAAAAAAGGGUAUAAAAGCAUAGGGAUAAGAAAAUACCUUGCGAGUAUGACGUAGACUUCUUUUGGUUUCGUCGAUAUCGGAGUCAAAAUGGAGUCACGAGGCUAAAAAAUGUCCCUCAAGGCAUGAAAGUACCGAUCGCCGUUUAGGGAGACGAAUCAGUGCCUGAAAAGGAGGGUUAUAGGUCGGUUGGUGAAGCAAAAUGGGGCUAGG